rnacentral:rRNA from 1 species
CUCCUACCUUCUCUACCCCUGACCAUCAAGCCCCAACGCAGCCACCUCCCCAUCUCCUGCGCGAGCCGCACUGCUCCCCACCCUGCGACGGCCCGGCUACCUACAUCGCCGCCGCCCUGCCAGAUCCGGCGAGAUCCGGCGUAUCCCACUCUCCACUGCCUCCGUGUAGGGACUUCGGGCGCCUGGAUCUGGCGCCUCUGCGGAUCAAGAUCCUCCACCCCCGAAGGCUUCCUCCAUUCGUCUCAUAGUGUGCAGUUCCCUAUCAUGGACGCGCAGCUCACCACCGGCCGCGUGCGGUUCGGCGUCGUCGAUGUGCAGUUAUUUUUUAGGGGCGUGGUGCCGUUCAGCGCUCGUGGACUGCUAGUUCUUUUCUGUGCGGAGUCCACAGAUUGCAAAACAUUGCGGUGCGGUGUGGCGGCCGUGGCGUGCACUUUGUUUUGAUGGGCAGUACGUUCUUUGUGGACGUGCACUUCGUUCGGCCCCGAGCGGCAUGAAGCUCAGUUUGCGCGGGCAUGCGGCUCGGGUAGCUAUUUCAUGCAGUUCUCUCGAUACGUUUUUUAUGUGCUGCCUGCCUAUGAUAAAAUUUGUUAUGUGCCCUUGUGAUGCCGGCAAGGUUUAGCAGCAAGUUCCUUCACCCCUUGAUGAACUUGUGGACUUAUGAUGAAUGUGUGUUUUCAGUACGUUGUUCGUGCACUUGCACAUGUGCCACCCCUGUAGUGCGCUGGUCCACGACCGUGCAGUUCCGCAAUCACCCGAGUGGCAUUUUAAUUUGUGUAUAAAAAAUUGUUGAAGAAAAACGAAUGAAGU